GAUGCCCCAAGAGGGUACGACAAAUUCUUCUAGAACUAAUAAGGCAACUUCACAGAGAAACAGUAUACGGGAUAAACACAUAAAGGUACGCGGAAUUCCUCUAUGCCAGCAACGAAUAUGGAGGCUCCACAAUCAAACACACCUUCACAAAGAAACUACUUCGUACAAAGAAACUACUUCGGGAUAAAUCUAACAGUGCCUGUCCAGGCAUCCCACGCCGAAAGCUCUUUAGCACUGAUAAAGGAAGUCCAAGAUAUAAAUCAAUGGAGAGAUACACCAUGUUCGGGCCUGGAAGACUAAGCAUCGCCACGAUGUCGAUUCUCCCCAGACUGAGAGAGAGAUUUAACGCCAUUUCUAUCAAAAUCCUGUCAGCUUCGUUUGUUUUCGUAGAGACAGACCAAAAUAUUCUAAAAUGUAUGUGGAAGGACAAAGGAAUUAGAGUAGUUUCGAAACCGGUUUUGAAAAGAAUAGUAAUUUGGGAACACAAGUGUUUAGAGUUUCCGAACUUAGUAGUAGUUGUAAUAAGGAAGCCCGUGUUGGUAUUUGCAGAAGGACAGUCCCACACAACAGAACAGAACAGAACAAAGAAUCCAGAAAGAGUCCCCACAAAUAUGCCCACCUGAGUUUUGAAAAGGGUGCUAACGCAAUUCCAUUCCAGACAGCUCGGUUUUGUACCGACUACGGCCACCUAAAGCUUGCGAUGAACUCAGACAGGCCACCCUCAGAAAACAGCAGCAGCAGCAGCAGCAGCAGAGGAGGAGGAUGGUGGUGUGACCGAGGUCCUACCAGGCUUCUGUGAGGCUUGCUUCUUGUCUGGCGUCUCAAGACCCCACAGCCUUGUCCCGGUGGGCGCAGCACCUCACAACCUCCAGACCCAUGGCCACUGGUCGGAGGACACCCCUUUGCAGCUCCUGAACGUCGUCCUCAAGGUCGGCGCGGAGGACGAAGAAGUGAGCAGCCCUUGGGAAGAUGCUUCUCUGCACGGAGCUCAGAAGAGCCCAGAACGGGGCUUCACUGACGGAGCUGCUAACUCUGUGGGGGGCCUGGAGACAGCGAGAGUGGAAAUGCGGCCGAACCAGGCAGAUGAGGUUUCAGCCUUGUUGGGGCUCAAGUCCUGCUAGAAGAGACCGACUUGAAGCCAGUAGGAAACAUCUUUAUCAUUGGCCUUGAUUCAUUCAUCACAUAGUGUCCAACGUGGAUUCCGUAUGCUGACAACCUGCCUGGCGCAUUACUCCGCUGGCCGCUCCGGUCCAGACGUCAGGCCGUCCCCCGAGGGAAGCCGACCCCACCGGCCCCGAAAGUUCAUGCUUGGGGUGCUGAGCGCCAGGCUGUCCCAGGAAUGGGCCCCUUGGUCCCUGGCCCUCUAUUCCGGCCAGCAGUUCUGGGGAGGCCAAGGCUGGAGCCCGACACUCUCCGUGGUUUCGUGAUCGUUUAAGAAAACAGAAGGGACAAACGUUUCACCGUCUUUAAAAACACAGGAGUCUGAGGAGAGAAGCCAAGGUCCGCCGCUUGGCAGCUCCGCGGGAGGACGAAGCAUCCGUGUCCCUUGCUGACCCACGCUGCGCCGCCUCCUCAUGCCCACGCGGAAGCACGUUUUCAGGCGGCAGUAUUGGCACAGGUGGUGCUGGUCGAUCUGGCAGCGGCGGUCGGAGCGGCCGGUGUAGCUGUGGUUGCUGUGGAUGCCUCCGCUGGAAGCAGCUCUCGCAGCCCUGGCAGGGGAAGACGCUGUAGUGCUUGCCGCUCGACAUGUCCCCACACACCACGCAGUCCACCUGCAGCUCCGGCUUCGCCAGGCUCGGAGUCGCUGGCGGCGCCCGCGGGGGAGGCCCAGGAAGCUGCUGGAGGCCUGCAAGGCCCCGCGGCCAGCACUUCCCGAGCUGCCGCCCCCUCUGUGGCCGCACCUUCCCUGCCUGGGCCUCAGGCGGGGCCCCAGCCUCGCUGGCCUUUGCCGGGCCUUUGCCGCCGCCGCCCACCCUGGGAGCCGGCCUCGAGCUGCAGCCGGUUUUCUCUGGGAAUAGUUUUUCUCCGUUCUCUGCUCUCCUCGGUCUCAGUUUCCAACGCCUUCCUGCGUCUGCAGCCCAAACGUUGUAGGGGAAGUUUGGGUUUGGAAUGGCAGGCUAAAUAGCUGUACCCAACCCAGUGCAAACCAGCAAAGCAUGAAGGACUUUGGGGUUUUUUUGUCUUUUUUUUUUUUUCUUUUAAAAGAUUUUGUUCACUGGACAGUGA